rnacentral:rRNA from 3 species
GGACUACCCGGGUAUCUAAUCCCGUUUGCUCCCCUGGCUUUCGCGCCUCAGCGUCAGAAGAGGUCCAGCGGAUCGCUUUCGCCACCGGCGUUCCUUCCGAUAUCAACGCAUUUCACCGCUCCACCGGAAGUUCCAUCCGCCCCUGCCUCCCUCCAGGCCGCCAGUAUCCAAGGCACUUUUCCGGUUGGGCCGAAAGAUUUCACCCCGGACUUGGCAGCCCGCCUACGCGCCCUUUAAGCCCAGUGAUUCCGAACAACGUUCGCACGGUUCGUCUUACCGCGGCGGCUGGCAC